rnacentral:rRNA from 1 species
UACGUAGGGGGCGAGCGUUAUCCGGAAUGACUGGGUGUAAAGGGAGCGUAGACGGUUGUACAAGUCUGAUGUGAAAGCCCACGGCUCAACUGUGGGAGUGCAUUGGAAACUGUAGAACUAGAGUAUCGGAGAGGCAAGUGGAAUUCCUAGUGUAGCGGUGAAAUGCGUAGAUAUUAGGAGGAACACCAGUGGCGAAGGCGGCUUGCUGGACGAAAACUGACGUUGAGGCUCGAAAGCGUGGGGAGCAAACAGG